GGUACUUAUGAAUAUUACUUUGGCAAGGGGGAGGGGGGAUGUGUCGAGUGCCACACCUUCCUUACAGAUGUUACUGGAAAAAUACUUUAGAAAGAAUUAUAAAUAAAAUUAUAAUUCUUUCUAAAGGAAGACUUAUGGGAUGCCUUGCUGGCUGAGAUGCUUUUAAGUUUCACAAAAGACGGAAUAUUACCUAUGUUUACCUCCCAUAUUAAGCAGUACAUUAGGUAUGUCAAUGAUAUUUAUAUUACAUGAAUGGAUAAAAUUAAAGUUGAGGAAUUGAAAGAAAAGUUUGCAACCCAGAAUAUGGGGCUUAAGUUAGUCUUUGAGCAGGGGAGUACUACUAAUGCACAUUUGUUGGAUGCGAAUGCAAAAGUAAAAAAUGGGAAUUUAUUUAUUUAUCUCGCCACCCUAAAUAUAAAUGAAAAUAUGGCAGCCCCUUCAUUUCAAAAUAUACAGAUCAUUAAAAGUUCUAGCAGCUCUGUUCCAAAAUGAUCUCAAAGUUUUUUCUAGUCUCUUGGUAGGUAAAAACAAUAAAUCAACUCUACGAGAAUUAUACUGAGGCACAUUAAAAAACAAGUUGUCAAAUUGUAAAAAAAAAAGUUGUUGUAAAAAACAAAUUAUGUCAAAUUAGUUUAUAAGACACCAUUAUAUACUCUGG
rnacentral:lncRNA from 1 species